AGUCGUCAUUAUGAAAUCCGGGCUGAUUUAGUGGCUAUUUAGUGUCAAUACAAGUGGAUUGGAAAUCGAACGGUGUCAAACGAUCGACAAGAACGAUUAAUAUUCAUAUAAUCAUGAUCAAGGUCGAUCGGAGCAAGAGUCAAGAAUUUCCACAUAAUUUCUCUGAGCGUGUGCUGACAAAAAGAGAAACUGUCGAUGCAUCUUAAACCGUAAUGAAUAAUCAGUUGCACCGUUGAGAAAAACCCCUGAUGGUCAAAAUCUCCGUUUCUAAAAUUUAUUAAGAGUGCCGUUAAGGCUUACAUAAUUCAUGCACACUAAUAAUUAAAUUAUACAUUUUUCUAAGGCAUGCUCUAUUUUUUCAUGACUCAAUUCAUGUGGGCUGAUGUUUGUUAUUUUAGACGUUAGAUGAACGAACUAUUUUCGAAAUGAUCUUCAUUGCAUAAUGAGGAAUCGUAAUUUUUGUGCCACAAACUCUCGGAACACUAAAGAUUCUGUUUCAUCACAUCGAAAAAUGUGCAUAUAUAGAAAAUGCACCUGCUUUUAUUCAUCGCAUCGGUGGUUCAGUGGUAGAAUGCUCGCCUGCCACGCGGGCGGCCCGGGUUCGAUUCCCGGCCGAUGCAUCUUUUUGGAUAAUUUUUAGUAGCCUUCAACCUACUCACGAUUAGUAUCGUACAGUAACGAUAGUCGCGAAAUUGCUUCAAAAUUUUUAUUCCAAACGUCGAUAUUAUUUUCACCAAUUUUUCAAAACUACGACGGAUAAUUGGCCAAAUUUAAUUAAGCUAUUUCUUCAACUUUCAAUUUACUCAAAUACCUGGAAUUCUGUACAUCCACGUUCAGGACGAUCGCAAUUGGUUAUACUAUCUGCAAUAGUUUAUUUAUAGGUAUACGUUAUCGCCAUAGACAUGCUCUAUGUCUAUGGUUAUCGCGUACUAUGAAAUCACGUGACUGGAUGAUGAUUUCCCUUGUGAUUAGCUGCGGCUAUAUAAACGACUUAUCGCACACAUAGUGAAACAUGCCCGUAUCGAUACAAUAAUUGAGCGUGUCAGGCAGGUGAUGUAACACCUUAUUGCGUGUGUAUCAUAUUACAAUCAACCCAAAAUUGUCAAGGUCACGUCAAAUAGUGUCCUCAGAUAUCUAUCGGUAUCAAAUAAAAAGAAAGCUGAUACACGGGCCCCGCCAAAUCGAGUAAAAUGAUAUUACGUUGCAAACUUAAUUAAUCAACUCGCGAAAUCAAUCGAUUACUAAUUAAAAAUACAGCAAUUUCAAAUAGUUGAAAAACACACAAUAGAACAGCGAAAGUUAUCUGACCGAAUUUCAGUCUUAUCGUUACUAAAUUUACGAUCUAUAUUUCCCGCAGCUCAUUUUACAAAAUCAAUGAAAGGAUUAUAUUCUUCGAUUAUAAAUAAAUUCAUUUACGACGAUAAAAUGCUGCAAAGGGUUAUCUGCAGAAUGUUGAAUUCCUCAGAAGUCAGAGCUCUUUUAUCAAUUUCCGGUUCCUCUUGCAGAUGAUAACAUGUGCAUGUAUGAUAAUCCCAUUCAUUAUUUGCGAAAAAAAAAUUAGCCAAAAUUUAGCGACAUCCGGCGUCUAGGUAUCACAUUGCACCACUAACGGUCGGGACAGUGUAUUAAUUUUGCGUGAUAAAAGCAGAAAAAAAAUUAAUAAAAUACAAAGAACAAAGACAAAUGAUAUACCAUAUGUGAAUAAUUUUUCUCGUCGUACAGCUAAUUUAUAUGCCUUUGUGGCAUUAUUCCACGUUUACUGAGGACUGCGAAUGUAUCUAUACAGUAUACCGUGACUAGACAGAUAAUCAUGUUAUUGUUGUAUAAAUUAGUCAUCUGAAAUUAUCUUCCCAAAUGGGAAAUUAAAUUUGUCAGACGAACCGUUCUGUUAAUAGUAUAAUAUAUUUAUUAACGUUCGCAAUGUUCGUGUCGUAAUUAGAAUCGAACAUUAAUACAAAUAAUUCAAUGUCAUUGUUAAUUCUUAUCGAUUCAUGACCUUUCCAUUCGUUUUAUUGCGCACUCAACGGUAUAUGAAUAGAGUUAUAAGUAAUUGCAUGAAAAUUAUGAAUAAAAAUAUUUAAUGAAAUUUCAUUUCGUAUUCCAUAAAAUACAACAUCACAAUUACACAAUUUUACCUGCAGUGAUAAUAAUAACGACCAUAAUAAUAAUGACACACACGAAACGUGGGCGGUAUAAAAUUGAAUGCAGAUGAUAAAGUUCGUCGAAAAAAUAUCUUAAUUCUACCGAUAGUAGGUUGAUUGCGCGUACAUACAUAUCUAAUGAUACUGGUAACAAUGCUAAUAAUUAUUAUUGUUAAUAAACUAUUUAAGAAAGGUAUAA